AACGAACGCUGGCGGCAUGCCUAACACAUGCAAGUCGAACGAGACCUUCGGGUCUAGUGGCGCACGGGUGCGUAACGCGUGGGAACCUGCCCUUAGGUUCGGAAUAACUCCCCGAAAGGGGUGCUAAUACCGGAUAGUGUCUUCGGACCAAAGAUUUAUCGCCUUUGGAUGGGCCCGCGUUGGAUUAGCUAGUUGGUAGGGUAAAAGCCUACCAAGGCGACGAUCCAUAGCUGGUCUGAGAGGAUGAUCAGCCACACUGGGACUGAGACACGGCCCAGACUCCUACGGGAGGCAGCAGUGGGGAAUAUUGGACAAUGGGCGAAAGCCUGAUCCAGCAAUGCCGCGUGAGUGAUGAAGGCCUUAGGGUUGUAAAGCUCUUUUACCCGGGAUGAUAAUGACAGUACCGGGAGUAUAAGCUCCGGCUAACUCCGUG
rnacentral:rRNA from 1 species